rnacentral:lncRNA from 1 species
AUUAGUUUACAAUGUUAGUAGUUAAUCUCACGUUAUUAACAAAUAUAUAGUAUAAUAAAUUUAAAAUAACCAAUUCUUUAUAAUUUAGGUAAUUAAAUUGGAUGCUUAGCUCACUGUAUAGCUGAGCUUACUUAUUGAACUUUAUAAAUAUAUGGUUGAAAGAUAGACACUAGGGUUGUGUGAUAAUUGUUUUUAUAUAUAAUUGGUUAGGGUUUCCAUGAAUCAAGCAUUACUUUAAAUCUAAGCAUUAAAAUGUUUGACUUUGGUUAGCUUCAUGUUUCGAAUUACUCAAACUUAAUUUAACAAUGUCUAAAUUAAUUUACAAACUUCUCAUUUAG